CAGCCGCCGCGGUAAUACGAAGGGGGCUAGCGUUGUUCGGAAUUACUGGGCGUAAAGCGCACGUAGGCGGAUACUUAAGUUAGGGGUGAAAUCCCAGGGCUCAACCCUGGAACUGCCUUUAAUACUGGGUAUCUUGAGUUCGAGAGAGGUAAGUGGAAUUCCGAGUGUAGAGGUGAAAUUCGUAGAUAUUCGGAGGAACACCAGUGGCGAAGGCGGCUUACUGGCUCGAUACUGACGCUGAGGUGCGAAAGCGUGGGGAGCAAACAGGAUUAGAUACCCCGGUAGUCCCUGUCUCUUAUAC
rnacentral:rRNA from 1 species